rnacentral:tRNA from 1 species
GCCGAGGUGGUGUAAUUGGUAGCCACGCUAGUCUUAGGAACUAGUGCCGUAAGGCGUGCGAGUUCGAGUCUCGCCCUCGGCACCA